AACACAUGCAAGUCGAGCGCACCUUCGGGUGAGCGGCGGACGGGUGAGUAACGCGUGGGAAUAUGCCCUUCUCUACGGAAUAGCCUCGGGAAACUGAGAGUAAUACCGUAUACGCCCUUCGGGGGAAAGAUUUAUCGGAGAAGGAUUAGCCCGCGUUGGAUUAGGUAGUUGGUGGGGUAAUGGCCUACCAAGCCUACGAUCCAUAGCUGGUUUGAGAGGAUGAUCAGCCACACUGGGACUGAGACACGGCCCAGACUCCUACGGGAGGCAGCAGUGGGGAAUCUUAGACAAUGGGGGAAACCCUGAUCUAGCCAUGCCGCGUGAGUGACGAAGGCCCUAGGGUCGUAAAGCUCUUUCAACUGUGAAGAUAAUGACGGUAGCAGUAGAAGAAACCCCGGCUAACUCCGUGCCAGCAGCCGCGGUAAUACGGAGGGGGUUAGCGUUGUUCGGAAUUACUGGGCGUAAAGCGCACGUAGGCGGACUAUUAAGUCAGAGGUGAAAUCCCAGGGCUCAACCCUGGAACUGCCUUUGAUACUGGUAGUCUUGAGUUC
rnacentral:rRNA from 1 species